ACGGGUGAGUAAUGCUUAGGAAUCUGCCUAUUAGUGGGGGACAACAUCUCGAAAGGGAUGCUAAUACCGCAUACGUCCUACGGGAGAAAGCAGGGGACCUUCGGGCCUUGCGCUAAUAGAUGAGCCUAAGUCGGAUUAGCUAGUUGGUGGGGUAAAGGCCUACCAAGGCGACGAUCUGUAGCGGGUCUGAGAGGAUGAUCCGCCACACUGGGACUGAGACACGGCCCAGACUCCUACGGGAGGCAGCAGUGGGGAAUAUUGGACAAUGGGGGGAACCCUGAUCCAGCCAUGCCGCGUGUGUGAAGAAGGCCUUUUGGUUGUAAAGCACUUUAAGCGAGGAGGAGGCUACCGAGAUUAAUACUCUUGGAUAGUGGACGUUACUCGCAGAAUAAGCACCGGCUAACUCUGUGCCAGCAGCCGCGGUAAUACAGAGGGUGCAAGCGUUAAUCGGAUUUACUGGGCGUAAAGCGCGCGUAGGUGGCCAAUUAAGUCAAAUGUGAAAUCCCCGAGCUUAACUUGGGAAUUGCAUUCGAUACUGGUUGGCUAGAGUAUGGGAGAGGAUGGUAGAAUUCCAGGUGUA
rnacentral:rRNA from 1 species